CCUACGGGCGGCUGCAGUGGGGAAUAUUGGACAAUGGGCGAAAGCCUGAUCCAGCCAUGCCGCGUGUGUGAAGAAGGCCUUCGGGUUGUAAAGCACUUUCAGUGGGGAAGAAAGCCUUGGGGCUAAUACCCUCGAGGAAGGACAUCACCCACAGAAGAAGCACCGGCCAACUCCGUGCCAGCAGCCGCGGUAAUACGGAGGGUGCGAGCGUUAAUCGGAAUUUCUGGGCGUAAAGCGCGCGUAGGCGGUCUGAUAAGCCGGUUGUGAAAGCCCCGGGCUCAACCUGGGAACGGCAUCCGGAACUGUCAGGCUAGAGUGCAGGAGAGGAAGGUAGAAUUCCCGGUGUAGCGGUGAAAUGCGUAGAGAUCGGGAGGAAUACCAGUGGCGAAGGCGGCCUUCUGGACUGACACUGACGCUGAGGUGCGAAAGCGUGGGUAGCAAACAGGAUUAGAUACCCCUGUAGUC
rnacentral:rRNA from 1 species